ACAUGCUUACAAAAUAACGUUAAUCCAUUAGAUCCCAUUAGAACUCCAUAGUUAAGCGCACUCAUGCUAGAGUAGUACUAGGAUGGGUGACCGCCUAGGAGUCCUAGUAUUUUACAUGCC
rnacentral:rRNA from 1 species